AUGCAAGUCGAACGAGGUAGCAAUACCUAGUGGCAGACGGGUGAGUAACAUGUGGGUAUCUUCCCUAUGGUGAGGAAUAACACGAGGAAACAUGUGCUAAUACCUCAUAAGUCUUUACAGAGAAAGCUUUAUGCGCCAUUGGAUGAGCCCGCACUUGAUUAGUUAGUUGGUAGGGCAAUGGCCUACCAAGACAUUGAUCAAUAGCUGAUUUGAGAGGAUGAUCAGCCACAUUGGGACUGAGACACGGCCCAAACUCCUACGGGAGGCAGCAGUAGGGAAUCUUGCACAAUGGGGGAAACUCUGAUGCAGCGAUGCCGCGUGAGUGAAGAAGGCCCUUGGGUUGUAAAGCUCUUUCGUCGGGGAAGAAAAUGACUGUACCCGAAUAAGAAGGUCCGGCUAACUUCGUGCCAGCAGCCGCGGUAAUACGAAGGGACCUAGCGUAGUUCGGAAUUACUGGGCUUAAAGAGUUCGUAGGUGGUUAAAAAAGUUGGUGGUGAAAUCCCAGAGCUUAACUCUGGAACUGCCAUCAAAACUUUUUAGCUAGAGUUUGAUAGAGGAAAGCAGAAUUUCUAGUGUAGAGGUGAAAUUCGUAGAUAUUAGAAAGAAUACCGAUUGUGAAGGCAGCUUUCUGGAUCAUUACUGACACUGAGGAACGAAAGCAUGGGUAGCGAAGAGGAUUAGAUACCCUCGUAGUCCAUGCUGUAAACGAUGUGUGUUAGAUGUUGGAAAUUUAUUUUCAGUAUCGCAGCGAAAGCGUUAAACACACCGCCUGGGGAGUACGACCGCAAGGUUAAAACUCAAAUGAAUUGACGGGGACCCGCACAAGUAGUGGAGCAUGUGGUUUAAUUCGAAGAUACGCGCAGAACCUUACCAACACUUGACAUGUUUGUCGCGACUUUAAGAGAUUAAAGUCUUCGGUUCGGC
rnacentral:rRNA from 1 species